UUAUGUUUUAUCUAUUUGUUUUUUUGGCAAGAAAGAAGAACAAGAAAUAGUUGAUUUUUUGUUUUUUCACUACUUGGUUUGUGAUUUGGGUUUUUCUUGUUAAUUGACUCAAGGUACCGUUGUUAAUUGCUGUAGACUACUAUCUUGCUAUGAGUUUUUUCUGCCUUGUUCUUCUUAUUGUCGAUCUAGAUACUGAUAACAUUUUUAACUGAUUUGACUUGAUUUUUUAUUCAUUAGUUCAUUUUCUUCCUGUCUCUGUUUUUUAUUUUUUAUUUAUUUAUUUUUUUUUACUUUAAUUUAAUAUAAUUUUUAAUUGCUUUUGAAUACAGUUGUUCAAAUGCUGUAGUAAAUCAACAAUUUGGUUUUCAUUUUAUUUUUUCUAGGGAAUAUUUCGUGAAAUAGUUCUUUUUAAGACUUUUUUUUGGCUAAUUUAUUAUAGUUUUGUAGAAAAUUAUACUAUUGAGUUUCUAUACAUAAUUUUUCUGGAGUUAAUUUAUCUUAAUUGGUAAGUUUGAAAUUUGUCAUCAAGUUUAGGAAUACCCCCGACCACCACGUCUUCCUUUAUGACAGUAAUAUCAGGUUAUUACAAGCUGGGGUUUUGUUUGCAAAAAGUGACAUGACUUUCCAAAAACUUUAUGGUAUCGAAAAGCUUCAAAUUCGCCAUAUUUUGCUUAAAUGAUACAGACAGAUUCAGAGGAGCUACAUAUAAUUAAGACCAGGGAAUCACUCUUAGAUAUUCUAACUGAGCAUGUCAAGACCAACCAUGAGUACGAGUAGGCAAAUGAGGAUAGAGCAUAAAUUGUUCAAGUGCUUCCAUCAGAUGCAGACAAGUUUGGAAUUAUGAUAUUGUCUGUUGAAACUUUAUUAAAUAUUGUCUGUUGAAUCUUUAUUGAAUACUUAAUGGUGUUUGGAAUUAUGAUAUUCUUUAUGACCUCAAAAAGUAGGAGUGCCACCAUAAUUAUUCAUGUACAUAAUUUUAUUAGAGUUGAUUUUCCACUAAAAAUAAGCAGACCAAUAAAAUGUUGCUGAAUGUAAGCUUCAAAUGUUUCUGUUGACAUUUUCAAUAUAAUACUCCAAUGCUUCAUGGGUUUUGUUGCUAUUGUUUGGAACCUAGAACAAAAAAUUGUUGGCUUUGUAGUAGUAGUGCUUUUUGCAUGUAAAGGGAUGCUCAAUAGUCCCUUUUUAUUUUGGAACCUAUAUCCAAUAUAAACAUUUUCCAUACGCUUCGCUUUUCAAGAAUUUGUAACAUUUUUUUAUGAAAUUCGAUAUUAUAUUAUAAAAUAAGCAAAAUCAAAAAAGAUAAAUAAAAAUAACAAAACUCUCACUCAAUCAAAUCCUGCCACAUUUAUUAACCUUACAAAUAACCGUUAUUUACUAAGACUUUCUCCUGUUAAUUGGCUAUAAUUACUUCAAUUGAGGUGAGUUCUUUAAUCGUGUCAACAUUCAAAAACUAACUGUGAAGUUAAUGGCAUCCAGAAAUCAAAACGCUGAAACUAAAAACAAAAAACAAAAUUUAAAAAUCAAUAAAGACAACAACCAAAAAUAGAUGAGGACAAGAUUCAUACAUCA